rnacentral:rRNA from 1 species
GGAGGGCAAGUCUGGUGCCAGCAGCCGCGGUAAUUCCAGCUCCAAUAGCGUAUAUUAAAGUUGUUGCAGUUAAAAAGCUCGUAGUUGAAUUUCGGGGUUAGUAGGUUGGUCAUGCCUCUGGUAUGUACUGGUCUCACUGAUUCCUCCUUCCUGAUGAACCGUAAUGCCAUUAAUUUGGUGUUGCGGGGAAUUUGGACUGUUACUUUGAAAAAAUUAGAGUGUUUAAAGCAGGCUAACGCUUGAAUACAUUAGCAUGGAAUAAUGAAAUAGGACGUUCGAUCCUAUUUUGUUGGUUUCUAGGAUUGACGUAAUGAUUAAUAGGGAUAGUUGGGGGCAUUAGUAUUCAAUUGUCAGAGGUGAAAUUCUUGGAUUUAUUGAAGACUAACUACUGCGAAAGCAUUUGCCAAGGAUGUUUUCAUUAAUCAAGAACGAAAGUUAGGGGAUCGAAGACGAUCAGAUACCGUCGUAGUCUUAACCAUAAACUAUGCCGACUAGGGAUCGGAUGAUGUUAAUUUUUUAAUGACUCAUUCGGCGCCUUACGGGAAAC